AGGAACUUAGGAUUAUUUAAACCAGGAGCCUUCAAAGCCCCUAAAAAGAGCACAACCUCUUAGCU
rnacentral:tRNA from 1 species